rnacentral:rRNA from 1 species
GGGUGAGUAACACGUGGGCAAUCUGCCCUUCACUCUGGGACAAGCCCUGGAAACGGGGUCUAAUACCGGAUAACACUCCUCCCCGCAUGGGGAGGGGUUAAAAGCUCCGGCGGUGAAGGAUGAGCCCGCGGCCUAUCAGCUUGUUGGUGGGGUAAUGGCCCACCAAGGCGACGACGGGUAGCCGGCCUGAGAGGGCGACCGGCCACACUGGGACUGAGACACGGCCCAGACUCCUACGGGAGGCAGCAGUGGGGAAUAUUGCACAAUGGGCGAAAGCCUGAUGCAGCGACGCCGCGUGAGGGAUGACGGCCUUCGGGUUGUAAACCUCUUUCAGCAGGGAAGAAGCGAAAGUGACGGUACCUGCAGAAGAAGCGCCGGCUAACUACGUGCCAGCAGCCGCGGUAAUACGUAGGGCGCAAGCGUUGUCCGGAAUUAUUGGGCGUAAAGAGCUCGUAGGCGGCUUGUCACGUCGGAUGUGAAAGCCCGGGGCUUAACCCCGGGUCUGCAUUCGAUACGGGCAGGCUAGAGUGUGGUAGGGGAGAUCGGAAUUCCUGGUGUAGCGGUGAAAUGCGCAGAUAUCAGGAGGAACACCGGUGGCGAAGGCGGAUCUCUGGGCCAUUACUGACGCUGAGGAGCGAAAGCGUGGGGAGCGAACAGGAUUAGAUACCCUGGUAGUCCACGCCGUAAACGUUGGGAACUAGGUGUUGGCGACAUUCCACGUCGUCGGUGCCGCAGCUAACGCAUUAA